UGGGGAAUUUUGCACAAUGGGGGAAACCCUGAUGCAGCGACGCCGCGUGAUUUAGAAGGCCUUCGGGUUGUAAAAAUCUUUUUUACGGGAUGAAAAUGACAGUACCGUAAGAAUAAGGUCCGGCUAAAUACGUGCCAGCAGCCGCGGUAAUACGUAUGGACCGAGCGUGGUCCGGAAUCAUUGGGCGUAAAGGGUACGUAGGCGGCCUAGUAAGUUAGAAGUGAAAUAAUAUAGCUCAACUAUAUAAAGCUUUUAUAACUGCUAGGCUUGAGAGAUUGAAGGGAAAGUGGAAUUCCUAGUGUAGCGGUGAAAUGCGCAGAUAUUAGGAAGAAUACCGGUGGCGAAGGCGACUUUCUGGUCAUCAUCUGACGCUGAGGUACGAAAGCGUGGGUAGCAAACAGG
rnacentral:rRNA from 1 species